CUCCUCUCUGUAUGUUGAGUCAAGUUAAAAUUAGAAAUAUAACAAAAGUUCAGAACACAGCUCAGAACAUUUUUAGUGUAUAUGUCCAGAACCCAGAUAACCAAUUUUUGGUGGUUAAAACUCAAUACAAUUCAUAAAAUUUGAACUUUUUGCCACCCAAAUGGAGUUUAAAAUGAGCUUUUUUUCUAAUAUAAGCUUAGUUCACCUAUCAAACCACAUAUACCUCAGAACAGCAGGUCUAAUUUGUAUCAGUCAGUUUUUGAGAUUGGAGCUUUGAAAUAUUUGCUAAUAAUUUCCUGACUGUCUUCAUUUUUCUUUCCCUGAAGAUCCUCUGUGAGUUCUAAGACCCUGCAUUUUACCACAGGGGCAUCUGCUGGUUAAUUCAGCAGUUGGGUAACCACAGGACUCUGGUCCAACUCAGCCAACAAACCACAUGGCACAUUUCAACCCCGGCCUGUUGUAAUCGUGGGGACUAUUUUGGUUUCUUUCCCCUUCCAAGAGCUUGAGGAGAAUCACAAACAGGAACACCAGACAAUUCCAAUAAAAGGAACCAGGGGACACACAUCACUGCUUCCAUCCUCCUUUCAAACUAGUCAUCUGUGUCUUUAUUCUGUGUGCUCUGUAAUCCUUCCUAAUGAACUUUUCCAAAUGUCAUGCAGAAGGGCAAGGAAAAGAAUGAUGGUGGGAGAAAACACAUCUGGUUUGUCCCCCAAAGGCCGCUCUUCAAGAGGAGCUUGAAAAGAUCAAGGUGCACCAUGUCAUAAAUUAAAGGAGCUGUAGCUAAGUUAUUAGGAUAGAAGCCUUGGAUACCACUGUGGAUAUUGGAGACAUAUUGGUGGUACAGCCAAUCUUACCUUUAGGAUUACCUUGGAUUAUCCUCCAAGUCAGGCAGCAGAGACUGAAAUUUCUGGGGCAACAGCAAGUACGAGCCUGGUUAAGCACAGAAGGAUGUUUGAAUGCAGUCUUAUUUUAUAUGUGGUCAACUCUCCAGUGAACUAUUUUGGUUGUGACUUUUGCUUCCCUAUACAACUGCAGGAACUCGGAUAAUGAACAAUUAGAAAUAUGUAUCAGUAGACACACCAGCACAUAGACCUCAGUUACCAGCACUUGAAGAGAAUCCCAGAUGUUUUAAAGAAAAAUGCCUGAUAUUUCAAGUAUGCCACUUGUGGAGUUUUCAAGAGAUCUACAGUAAGCUGGUAUGAAGUGGGGUUGUUUAAAAUGAAGAAGUGAAUUGACAAUGUAGUACAUUGUACAGGUCUCCAAAUGACUGAACAUUCCUUUCAAGAUACUUUAAUUGGGAGAUUGGCCUGGUUUGACUUAUCUGCAUUUCAGGGGGUUCUAUGUAUUUAAAAUUACAUUAAAAUUGUUUGUAAGCUAGAUCACCUGAGGCAGACAAUACUUUUAGAAAGGUAGGAAAAUAAAGAUGCUGCAUCAAAUGUGGAGGGACCCAGGAAGAUGUUACUAAAAUAAACAGUUUUAAAAAUAUGCAGGGUUUGAAGAUUUCUAACCUAGAAUGUUGGAUGAGGAGGAUAAAAUAUCCUUUUAUUUUGAAUAUCUGUGAUUUUUCCAAAGUAUAAAUAAAAGAUCUCAGAGCUCCUAGCUGUUAUUUGCAAGCUCAGAUAAAUGCUGAUGACCUGUUUGCAGGAGAGCCAAAGUAGAACUGGAACUUAUAAAAGUGACACAGAUGACCUAAAAAUGAAUGAGCCAGCGGGUCAAUAUCUACAGAUAUGAAAACACUGGAAUGAUCCUUCCAGGUAGAGACUGUGUCUUAUGUCUUUUAUUUUUCCUCAUUAGAACUGGGCAUAUAAGUAAGCAAUUUCAUAAAUAAUUAUUGACACAUAAAAAUUCAUUUGGUGGGAUCAUUAUUUUUAAAACAACCUGGUCAGUCAGAUUAUUCCUUUCAAAUUAUUGGCUUCUAAAUCAUAGAGAAGUAAUUGGGUAAGGCUUUCAAUCCUGUCCUCUGUAGUAUUACAGUUUUAUAUAGAGGCAGCUUGCUGCAAAGUAAUACUGGUAAAUAAACUAGUAAACUGGCUGUCACAAAAAAGAAGUCCUGAUUUAUAGCAUAUGCCAAUUUCUGUGGUGUAAAUGCUCCCACUGAUGCUGGCCAAUUUAAAGCUUCCAAGAGUUUGACAAUAGGUUUUCAAAAUUCCUGAAUCUUUAACAGUUGGCUGUCCUGAGCCAGUACAAGUUGGCUCCAGCAAGCUACUGCUGCUGAGCCUUCAGUUACACGGGUGUUAGGUUUCAGGGCAGCCUGCUGUUCAUUAACUCUCAGACUCCUGAAGAAUUAUUUACCCUCUUGGCCCUGAGUUUCAUCAUCUAAAAUUAGGAGUCACCCCUUAUGCUAAUCCUUACCUUACGGAGUGUCUGGGGGAUUAAGUCAAACAAUGCCUGACAAAGUAUUUUGCAAACUCCCAAGCUUCAUACAAGUUAGGGUAUGGGCUUUCUUUACUCCUCUAAUUGGAAUCUCACCCUGACUUAUACUUACUCAUUUUCAAGACUCCACUAAGGUUUUAUUUUUUCUGGGAGAACUUUCCCAAAUCUCUCAGAAUUUACGAUCCCUUCUUUUGUCUCCUAUU